rnacentral:rRNA from 1 species
GAGUUUGAUCCUGGCUCAGGACGAACGCUGGCGGCGUGCUUAAGACAUGCAAGUCGUGCGAGAAAGCCACCUUCGGGUGGCGAGUACAGCGGCGCACGGGUGAGUAACGCGUGGGUAAUCUACCUUCGGGCUCGGGAUAACCUCGGGAAACUGGGGCUAAUACCGGAUGAGACCACGAGACCUUUGGAUCUCGCGGCAAAAGAUGGCCUCUCCAUGGAAGCUAUCACCUGUAGAUGAGCCCGCGUCCCAUUAGCUUGUUGGUGAGGUAAAGGCUCACCAAGGCUCCGAUGGGUAGCUGGUCUGAGAGGAUGAUCAGCCACACUGGAACUGAGACACGGUCCAGACUCCUACGGGAGGCAGCAGUCGGGAAUUUUGGGCAAUGGGCGAAAGCCUGACCCAGCAACGCCGCGUGAGGGAUGAAGGCCUUCGGGUCGUAAACCUCUGUCGAGAGGGAAGAAAGGUCCGCGUACGAAUAAUGCGCGGGCUUGACGGUACCUCGAAAGGAAGUGCCGGCUAACUCCGUGCCAGCAGCCGCGGUAAUACGGAGGGCACAAGCGUUGUUCGGAAUCACUGGGCGUAAAGCGCGUGUAGGCGGCCAGGCAAGUCGGUUGUGAAAUCCCGAGGCCCAACCUCGGAACUGCAACCGAAACUGCUUGGCUCGAGUCCCGGAGAGGGUGGCGGAAUUUCCGGUGUAGAGGUGAAAUUCGUAGAUAUCGGAAGGACACCAGUGGCGAGGCGGCCACCUGGACGGUGACUGACGCUGAGACGCGAAAGCGUGGGAGCAAACAGGAUUAGAUACCCUGGUAGUCCACGCCGUAAACGUUGGGUGCUAGGCGUCGGGGGUAUUGACCCCUCCGGUGCCGAAGCUAACGCAUUAAGCACCCCGCCUGGGGAGUACGGCCGCAAGGCUAAAACUCAAAGGAAUUGACGGGGGCCCGCACAAGCGGUGGAGCAUGUGGUUUAAUUCGAAGCAACGCGCAAAACCUUACCUGGGUUUGACAUCUGGGGAACUUCCUGGAAACAGGAAGGUGCCUUCGGGAGCCCCAAGACAGGUGCUGCAUGGCUGUCGUCAGCUCGUGUCGUGAGGUGUUGGGUUAAGUCCCGCAACGAGCGCAACCCUCACUUUUAGUUGCCAUCAUUAAGUUGGGCACUCUGAAAGAACUGCCAGUGAUAAGCUGGAGGAAGGUGGGGAUGACGUCAAGUCCUCAUGGCCCUUACGUGUUGGGCUACACACGUGCUACAAUGGUAUCCACAACAGGAAGCAAGACUGCGAAGUCAAGCAAAUCCUAAAAAGAUACCUCAGUUCGGAUUGCACUCUGCAACUCGAGUGCAUGAAGCUGGAAUUACUAGUAAUCGUGGAUCAGCGUGCCACGGUGAAUGCGUUCCCGGGUCUUGCACUCAC